rnacentral:rRNA from 1 species
CAGUAGCCGCGGUAAUACGGAGGGUGCGAGCGUUGUCCGGAUUUAUUGGGUUUAAAGGGUGCGUAGGUGGCUUUAUAAGUCAGUGGUGAAAUACGGUUGCUCAACAAUCAAGGUGCCAUUGAUACUGUAGAGCUUGAAAUAAUUGGAGGCUGCCGGAAUGGAUGGUGUAGCGGUGAAAUGCAUAGAUAUCAUCCAGAACACCGAUUGCGAAGGCAGGUGGCUACGAUUUGUUUGACACUGAGGCACGAAAGCAUGGGGAGCAAACAGGAUUAGAUACCCGCGUAGUCCCUGUCUCUUAUAC